rnacentral:rRNA from 1 species
ACGAACGCUGGCGGCAUGCCUAACACAUGCAAGUCGAACGAGACCUUCGGGUCUAGUGGCGCACGGGUGCGUAACGCGUGGGAACCUGCCCUUAGGUUCGGAAUAACUCCCCGAAAGGGGUGCUAAUACCGGAUAAUGUCUUCGGACCAAAGAUUUAUCGCCUUUGGAUGGGCCCGCGUUGGAUUAGCUAGUUGGUAGGGUAAAAGCCUACCAAGGCGACGAUCCAUAGCUGGUCUGAGAGGAUGAUCAGCCACACUGGGACUGAGACACGGCCCAGACUCCUACGGGAGGCAGCAGUGGGGAAUAUUGGACAAUGGGCGAAAGCCUGAUCCAGCAAUGCCGCGUGAGUGGUGAAGGCCUUAGGGUUGUAAAGCUCUUUUACCCGGGAUGAUAAUGACAGUACCGGGAGAAUAAGCUCCGGCUAACUCCGUG